rnacentral:lncRNA from 1 species
CCUCCUGGGUUUCUUCCUCCUGUAUCAAGUACGGUUCUGUUCCCCUCUGCACUCCAGAAGGGAUGGAGAACUGGGGGCUUGGACUAAAAAGGAGCUGGACAGCUGGAGACCCUCAAAGGUUCCGCCUGCGGCGGCGAGGGUGGGGGACCACAGUGACCAGGCCGGCGUCCCCACCCGCCUCUAAACUUAGCCGCGGUGACGGCGAUCGCGGCGGGCCGGGGACACAGGGGGCCCGAGCAGAGAGGGGGGCUGGCUCGCCUCGGCUGUGAGAGCUUCUAUUUAUAGUGCCCGGAGCCCGAAAUAGCGUGGAGCAGAGCGGCCUGGAUGACGCGGGAGCCGCCCGGGGCUGACUCACCCGGCCCGGAGUGGAGGCCCCCGGAUGGGGGGACAGUGGAGCGCACCGGACCCGACCCCCGCGCCUUCACGGACACCUCUUCUACUACUGCACCUCAAUGUGUCCACUGGGACAAUGUGUCCGUGGAUGAAUAGAUACACAGCAAAAGAUGUUUGUAGCAGAGGCACUGCAGUUGGAUUAAGGGAAGAACUUCCACCAAAGAAAUUGGACCAGGUAGGAACACGUGCUUCUCACUAGGAGGAGUACUGAAAUGUUUUAGGCAUGGCGGCGCAGACUCAUUGACCACAGACAGCCAUCGUUCCAUAACGUGUCUUCUGUACUGCCCCACCCCCACCCCCAACCCCUGGAAUGUUCCUCCUGCCUGGAGUGCUUAUCCCUGCCUCCAAAGACUUGAGAACUCAUACGCUUACUUUAGAGCGCUGUCCCUCUGACCUAGUGGCCUGGGAUAAAUGAGCGGUGUCCAGGGCAACACGAGACAGAGCUAAAGAUAAAUUUAAUCUAGCCGAUUAGCAUGGAUUGAAAAGUGAUGGCAAGAAGGAAAAAUGGAUCCAACAGCAGCUUGCUUUCUGUCCCUGCAGCAGGUGCCAUGUGCAGGUGUGGCCCGGGAGCCUCGUUUUAACCCCGGGAGGGGCGCACUGCAAACCAUGGUUAGUGUUGCACUGUGUCGCCUACACCUGGGCCACCUGGUCCUCAGGUCAUGGGGGUCCUAGCAUUGGGGCCUUAGGGAGUCCGGGAGAGGUGUGAUUACCAAAGUACAACCCAAGGCGCCCUCAGCCCCGCCCCCCUUAAGGACACAAUCACGUGUAGACACUAAGCAGACUUUAUUGUGCUUCUUUGCUGAGUUUAUGGAGCCUGCAGGGAAUCACAGCAGACCAGACACAGACAAAAACGUGAGAGAGAAGGGUGAUGGCUCAUUGAAGCCCAAGGAUGGUGUCUUGCAAAGACUUAACAAGUCUAAACUGGAUGUGGAGGCAGGGACUCAGAUGCGAGCCCUCCCCAGGGUCUGAGGCCAGAGGACGAAAGGGUACAGGCCAACUUGGGCUACUCAACAAGACCCUGUCUUCAUAAAGUCAAAUAAUGGCCUUAGAAUAACUCUGUUGGCAGAGCAUUUGCCUCGUCGACAACGUCAUGGAUUCAAUCCCCAUCACUGCAUAAACUGGCCAUGCAGAAAAGGCUGCAUGAAACAGUCUGCC